AUUAAUAUAGGUUUGAAUAUAUAGGAACGAUGAACUAUUACUAACCGGUCAAGGAAAUGAGAAGGUUACGUGGAAGCAUGGCAUGGAAAGUAUAGAUUGGUUAAGAAGAAGUCAAACAUAGAUAUGUGUAUGUGUAAAUGGAAGUGAGAAAGGUUUCGGGGACGAAACCUUAUUUAAGGGGGGUAGACUUGUAACGCCCCAAAACCCAAAUGUUUAUAUCGUCGUAUGUUCCUAUAGGACAUAACAUGAGAUAAAUAACUAGGCUAUUGAACCUAGUUAAAAGGUGUAGCUAAGAUUAAUAAAGGUAGUGUCAGUUAUGUUUUAAAAGGCAAACCCGAGGGACUAGAGUGGAACAAAUGAAAGUUGACUACUAAUUAAAAGGUCAAUACACACACAAACACACACAUACGUGCGUGUUCUUGAAGCUUCAGGAGCUCUCAAGAGCUCCAAACCCUAGUUCCACUAAAUCAUCAAAUUAAAGGGGUGAAUCGAAGCCCAAAUUCAAGAAGGAGCACGGAUUAACGAUCACCUUCAUGAGGGGAUCAUAAGGAAUCACAUUAGCAUGGAUUCAAGCAUGAAAGGCUAACGAGUCAAGAGGAGACAAGGAAGCGGCUACGAACACGGAUGCACAAGGUUAUACGGAUAAUGGGCGGAUUAUCACAAGAAUUAGAGAUCGAAGACCGAGUCACGAGAUAGAUUGUACGGGAAUAAUUAAGUAUGUACUAUUAGUAAACAUGACUUGUAUUUUAUCUUUGUAAAAGAUACAUUUUUAAAACG